rnacentral:rRNA from 1 species
UAGGGAAUCUUCGGCAAUGGGGGCAACCCUGACCGAGCAACGCCGCGUGAGUGAAGAAGGUUUUCGGAUCGUAAAGCUCUGUUGUAAGUCAAGAACGAGUGUGAGAGUGGAAAGUUCACACUGUGACGGUAGCUUACCAGAAAGGGACGGCUAACUACGUGCCAGCAGCCGCGGUAAUACGUAGGUCCCGAGCGUUGUCCGGAUUUAUUGGGCGUAAAGCGAGCGCAGGCGGUUUGAUAAGUCUGAAGUUAAAGGCUGUGGCUCAACCAUAGUUCGCUUUGGAAACUGUUAAACUUGAGUGCAGAAGGGGAGAGUGGAAUUCCAUGUGUAGCGGUGAAAUGCGUAGAUAUAUGGAGGAACACCGGUGGCGAAAGCGGCUCUCUGGUCUGUAACUGACGCUGAGGCUCGAAAGCGUGGGGGGCGAACAGGAUUAGAUACCCUGGUAGUCCACGCCGUAAACGAUGAGUGCUAGGUGUUGGAUCCUUUCCGGGAUUCAGUGCCGCAGCUAACGCAUUAAGCACUCCGCCUGGGGAGUACGACCGCAAGGUUG